GACGAACGCUGGCGGCGUGCUUAACACAUGCAAGUCGAACGCUGACGCUCAGCUUUUGUUGGGUGGAUGAGUGGCGAACGGGUGAGUAACACGUGAGUAACCUGCCCCCUUCUUUGGGAUAACGCCCGGAAACGGGUGCUAAUACUGGAUAUUCACUGGUCUUCGCAUGGGGGUUGGUGUAAAGGGUUUUUCUGGUGGGGGAUGGGCUCGCGGCCUAUCAGCUUGUUGGUGGGGUGAUGGCCUACCAAGGCUUUGACGGGUAGCCGGCCUGAGAGGGUGACCGGGCACAGUGGGACUGAGCAACGGCCCAGACUCCUACGGGAGGCAGCAGUGGGGAAUAUGGCACAAUGGGCGCAAGACUGAUGCAGCGACGCCGCGUGAGGGAUGGAGGCCUUCGGGUUGUGAACCUCUUUCGCUCAUGGUGAAGCCGCAACAAUGGUUGUGGUGAGGGUAGUGGGUAAAGAAGCGCCGGCUAACUACGUG
rnacentral:rRNA from 1 species